rnacentral:rRNA from 1 species
ACUCAAAUGAAUUGACGGGGGCCCGCACAAGCAGCGGAGCGUGUGGUUUAAUUCGAUGUUACACGAAGAACCUUACCCGGGUUUGACAUGUGGGUGGUAGGAAGCCGAAAGGUGACCGACCCUUCGGGGAGCCCUCACAGGUGUUGCAUGGCUGUCGUCAGCUCGUGUCGUGAGAUGUUCGGUUAAGUCCGCUAACGAGCGCAACCCUCGCCACGUGUUACAAGUGUCACGUGGGACCGCCGGUAUCAAGCCGGAGGAAGGUGGGGAUGACGUCAAGUCAGCAUGACCUUUAUGUCCGGGGCUACACACACGCUACAAUGGUCGGUACAAUGGGUCGCUAAGCCGCGAGGUAGAGCCAAUCCCCAAAGCCGGCCUCAGUUCAGAUCACAGGCUGCAACCCGCCUGUGUGAAGUCGGAGUUGCUAGUAAACGCGCGUCAGCCAUAGUGCGUUGAAUACGUUCUCGGGCCUUGUACACACCGCCCGU